AGAGAGAGACAUGCGCGCAUAUCAAUAAGCGGAGGAAAAGAAACUAACAAGGAUUCCCCUAGUAACGGCGAGUGAAGCGGGAAGAGCUCAAAUUUGAAAUCUUCAAGGUUUUACCUUGACGAAUUGUAGUUUAAAGAAGUGUUUUCUGUUGGUGUUUUGGUAAAAGUUCUUUGGAAUAGGACAUCAUAGAGGGUGAGAAUCCCGUAUUUGACCAUUACUUCCAGCGUUGUGAUACACUUUCAAAGAGUCGGAUUGUUUGGGAAUGCAGUCCAAAAUGGGUGGUAAAUUUCAUCUAAAGCUAAAUAUUGGCGAGAGACCGAUAGCGAACAAGUACCGUGAAGGGAAAGAUGAAAAGAACUUUGAAAAGAGAGUUAAACAGUACGUGAAAUUGUCAAAAGGGAGGCGUUUGACACCAGUGUUGUUUUUCCGAAAAUCAAUUACGAAUGUUUUAUUUUUGAAGAGUUAUGACUUCAUCGGCUUGCUUCUUUCUUUACGAAACUUUCUUAAUGCACUUUUCGGUUAACAAGUCAACAUCAAUUUCUUUUGUUGUAAAAGGGUAUGAGGAAGGUGGCUUUCUUUUCGGAGAAAGUGUUUAUAGCCUUGUACCUCUGCAAUCGGAGAGAUUGAGGUCUGCAGCGUAGAUCCUUCGGGGUUAGAUACAUUUGUGCUAAGUUAUAGCUUUUCAUAGACAACUUGUUGACUAUGUUUAGUCUUGUAGCUUACUCGCUUACUGCUAUUUUACCUACGCUUAGGAUGUUGAUAGUCACAGCGUGUAC
rnacentral:rRNA from 1 species